ACCUGCUAGUGGUAAUGACAAGAAGAGGGAAAACGGUAAGCGGCAAAAAGGCGUUGUCUCGGCAGGCAAAACUAAUGAAGAAAGCGACAUAUUCAAGAUGGUGAAAAUGAUAAUUCAACGUCAAUAUGACCCUGUGAUACUUUUCAGCUUCAGCAAAAGAGAGUGUGAAUUUCUUGCCAUGCAGAUGGCCAAGAUGGACUUGAAUGGGGAUGAUGAGAAA